rnacentral:siRNA from 1 species
ACACUUGAGGUUGCCAACUGCUUC